UACAGAGGGUGCAAGCGUUAAUCGGAAUUACUGGGCGUAAAGCGUGCGCAGGCGGUUUUGUAAGUCUGUCGUGAAAUCCCCGGGCUCAACCUGGGAAUGGCGAUGGAGACUGCAAGGCUAGAGUUUGGCAGAGGGGGGUAGAAUUCCACGUGUAGCAGUGAAAUGCGUAGAGAUGUGGAGGAAUACCGAUGGCGAAGGCAGCCCCCUGGGAUAACACUGACGCUCAUGCACGAAAGCGUGGGGAGCAAACAGG
rnacentral:rRNA from 1 species